rnacentral:misc_RNA from 1 species
AAGUCGUAACAAGGUCUCCGUUGGUGAACCAGCGGAGGGAUCAUUACAGAGUUACUACUCCAAACCCAUUGUGAACCUUACCUAUGUUCUGUUGCCUCGGCGGGGCGGUCGGCGCCCCCUCUCCGCGAGGAGGGGAGACGAUGGACCCCCCGCCGGCAGCACCAAACUCUUGAAUUUUAUAGCGGAUUACAAGCUCUGAUUGGAAAACAAAAAAACAAAUCAAAACUUUCAACAACGGAUCUCUUGGUUCUG